rnacentral:rRNA from 1 species
UCUCCUGGAAACGGGUGGUAAUGCCGGAUGCUCCAGUUGAUCGCAUGGUCUUCUGGGAAAGCCUUUGCGGCAUGGGAUGGGGUCGCGUCCUAUCAGCUUGAUGGCGGGGUAACGGCCCACCAUGGCUUCGACGGGUAGCCGGCCUGAGAGGGCGACCGGCCACAUUGGGACUGAGAUACGGCCCAGACUCCUACGGGAGGCAGCAGUGGGGAAUAUUGCACAAUGGGCGCAAGCCUGAUGCAGCGACGCCGCGUGAGGGAUGGAGGCCUUCGGGUUGUAAACCUCUUUUGUUAGGGAGCAAGGCAUUUUGUGUUGAGUGUACCUUUCGAAUAAGCACCGGCUAACUACGUGCCAGCAGCCGCGGUAAUACGUAGGGUGCAAGCGUUAUCCGGAAUUAUUGGGCGUAAAGGGCUCGUAGGCGGUUCGUCGCGUCCGGUGUGAAAGUCCAUCGCUUAACGGUGGAUCCGCGCCGGGUACGGGCGGGCUUGAGUGCGGUAGGGGAGACUGGAAUUCCCGGUGUAACGGUGGAAUGUGUAGAUAUCGGGAAAGAACACCA